ACAACACCUUAGACAGUCGGUCUACCGAGUAAUAUCACCCGCUCUGUGCAAGAUCUUCCCUUUGUCGU
rnacentral:pre_miRNA from 1 species